rnacentral:rRNA from 1 species
CGAACGGGUGAGUAACGCGUGAGGAACCUGCCUCAAAGAGGGGGACAACAGUUGGAAACGACUGCUAAUACCGCAUAGGCCCACGGCUCGGCAUCGAGCAGAGGGAAAAGGAGUGAUCCGCUUUGAGAUGGCCUCGCGUCCGAUUAGCUAGUUGGUGAGGUAACGGCCCACCAAGGCAACGAUCGGUAGCCGGACUGAGAGGUUGAACGGCCACAUUGGGACUGAGACACGGCCCAG